rnacentral:lncRNA from 1 species
GGAGGAGGAGGAGGAGGAGGAGGAUGGGAGGAACUCAUUUAGCUGGUGAUGAAUUAAAACGGAUAAAAUGGGACUUGGACGCGACAGCUGUCCAAAAAUGUCAGUCAAGUGGUCGGAGAUUUACCAGGAUUCUGAUUUCUUACCGGCACGCGCAUCCUGCGGCAGUCUUGUGAUGGGUCAUUUUCAAAUAAACUGUGGUAUACCCCUACACCUACCGUUGUUAGUACCUACUGUGUGUGCCUGUUUGGGUGAGCUAAUUGCCAAUUAUAAUCAGACAAAUACUUAACAUGCAUGCGCCUUCCCUUUCUCUUUUCUCAUCUUCUCUUUCGAGUUUCGGCCAUGUGUUUUUUGAGCUCAUCUUUCAAUAGAGGAUCAAACAAAUUUCUUACAACAAAAUUGCUAUAUCAUUUUCACUCCUUGUUAGUUAUUUGUAUAAAAAAAUUUUAUUUUAAUUAUUUUUGGAACCAAAACCGUACCGCACGUUUCAAAACCGAACCGCACCGAUCACAAACGAUUUUAUAUGCGGUUUUGAAUUUAUCAAACCGCACUUAAUCGGUUUCGUUUGCAAUUUGAGCUUCUAACCGCACUAUGCUCACCCCUAUGAAGAGGAUUGUGUUUUUAUUUCUUUUAAUUUUGUUUUUGUUUAGUUAUUAGUCUAUUUUUAAUAAAACUUGGUAUACUAUAUUACUAUUUUAUUCUUAUUAUUUAUAUAAAAUGAUAAAAGAAAAUUUGCAAAAUGACUUAUUAUUAACACAAACACUAAAUGUCAU